GUGCAAACUUGAUCACUAGCUCUGCAUGAUGUAGCAGCAGCUAAGGAAACCAGGUUUGCAAAAGUAAUUGAUGUGACAGGAACUACCAGCUUCUGAAGGUCCUGAGGAGGUGGCUUAUUCUAACCUGGUACAGUC
ensembl:snoRNA SNORA66 Small nucleolar RNA SNORA66